rnacentral:rRNA from 1 species
GAGUUGUAAUUUGCAGAGGAUGUUAUGGAAUCUGUAUGGACUCAAAUUCUUUGGAAAAAGAUGCCAUGGAGAGUGACAGACUCGUACUUUCUACUACAUUUUCCAUGUAUAACUCCUUCAAAGAGUCGAGUUGUUUGGGAAUGCAGCUCUAAGUGGGACGUAAAUUUGUUCCAAAGCUAAAUACCGGCUAGAGACCGAUAGCGCACAAGUAGAGUGAUCGAAAGAUGAAAAGCACUUUGAAAAGAGAGUUAAAAAGCACGUGAAAUUGUUGAAAGGGAAGCUUAUGUCAUCAGUAAUGACGGCAUUGUUCAGCCUUUUGGUGUAUUCAAUGUUUGUCAGGCUAGCAUCAGUUUGGGUAGCUGGAUAAAAGUGUUGGAAAUGUAACU